UGUUAGAUUUUAACUAAAUUAGUGGUGGUGCAGAGAGAGGUUGCAAAGAUGUCUACGUGUUACUUGUGUCAGUUCUUUGUGCUACCUUUGCGUUUACUCAUUGAAAACUGCCGAGCGGGAUAUUAUGAGAAAACAAAACCUGAGCAACCCUAGCUUCGACAGUGUGUCACUGGGAUGACUGAAUCGUCAGGAAAAGAAGUUGAAUCAUUUCCUGACCAAUCUCUUUCUUGCCUAAAACAAGAAGAUAGGAGAGCUCCUGCAAUCUGUGUAGCAUAAAGGAGCACUUUCAAAUUAGGAGAAAAAUCUGACAGAACAUUGGAAUCGUCAAAGGUUGACAUGAAAUUGAAAUGGCCCGGAAGUUGCUGGAAGGAGCUACGCAUUGGAAAUAACCCGUGUCUGUGGUAUCGAGGUUUCGUAUUCGGAGGCGGGAGCCAUAGCUGGUCAGCCGGUACGAUAUCCUCCGUGGUUCCUGGACAACUGGUGCAUCAUUCUUCAACCAGCGGAUGGUUGGAGCCGGAUUGCCGGAGACUUUGCAGUAUAACUCUGCAGUCUGGCCAAGUGAGAUGAGACACACCGCUGAUAGUUCAACACGGGAGCUACUGCGUUCCAGAUUGUACUGGCAAAUCCAGCAGAAUCAUUUUAUGGUCAUGAAUCAUCAAGGCUGCCUGAAGAUGCUGCCAGACCUGCUCAGUUUUUCCAGCAAUUUCUGCUUUUGUAGCAAUAUCCCCACGUUCCUCUUCAAAAUCAGCAAUGGGAUCUUUCCAUGUCCUGCAGAGAAAACUGAUGCCUUUUAAAGGUUGUAAUCGUUAAACCUGAAGGAAGGAUCAUUGGAGGCUUCCUCACCAGGAGAAACCUGCCAGGAACACUCAGUGCCCAAGCAGACACAAACUUGCUAAGUUUGUAACAAAGACAGGAAAUGCUGAAGAAACUCAGCAGGUUGCAGAUCACAUUUCAGAUCUCCAGCAUCCGCAGUUCUUUGAAGAUUAAACAUACAUGGAAUGAAUUGCUUUAUCGAGGAUUCCAUUACACAUCUGGAGAGAGAUAACAUUAUCAUAGAAUCCCUACAGCAUGGAAGCAGGCUAUUUGGCCCAUCGAAUCAAUACUGAUGCUCUGAAGACAAUCCCACCCCAUCACUGUAACACUGCAUUUCCCACGGCUAAUCCACCUAGCCCGUACAUCCUGGACACUAUGGGCAAUUUAGCAUGGCCAAUCCACCUAAACUGCACAUCUUUGGACUGUGGGAGGAAACCGGAACACUUGGAAGAAACCCACACAGACAUGGAGAGAACAUUCAAACUCCAUACAAACAGUCGCUCAAGGGCAGAAUUGAACCACUGAGCCACCAUGCUGCCCUCUUCUAAUUUCAAGCCUUGCAAUGUUAAACUUGCACCAUCCAGUUCUACACUCUCAGAAGCUUACCAUGCAUCACCACUUCUGGGCAUAAUGAGAAAAUAAUGGAGAUAGGUAGAUUAAAUGUGGCGAGUUAAACCUAACCUGUCCAUUGAGAAAUGGAUCAUGUACGGAGAUAAUUUAACAUUCAGCCAGAUUUUACUCUUGUCAAUUUCAUGAUGGAAUGGUUUUGGAUGGUGUGUCAAACUGGUAUUCCACUUGAUUCCAUGUGACUCCCAUAGGUUAAAGUUACCCCAAUCUGUGAUGUCAUCUGCAACUCCUACUGGAGUCAGUUGAUUGUGUAUUGACCAGAAAUUAAACGUGGGCCUGUGUGGCUCAACUACUAACUACUGUGAACAGCUGAGUCAUCAGUGGAACUGAGAGUUUCUCUCUUAUUCACAAAGAAUUAAAAUAAAUAGUUUGUCUUUUACAUCUGUAGACAGUUUAUAUAAAACAGUUAGCAACAUGUCAAAAGAACCGCAGUGAGAACACAUUCUAAGCGUGCUGACAGUUAAUGACAUUCCUUACAGUGAAUGGAAGUAAAUAUAUCCAACAACCAUCCCCUGACAUUACUCAAAUUAAUGGUUAAAACCAGCCACUCCAAAUGGGUGAAGAGUGAAAUGUUAACUAAACCACUAAUCUGUAAAAACGAUAGGAUUUUUGCACUUGUCUUGGUAUUAGGCUGGAUUAUAUUUGGCUAUUGAUCAAUUCGUGCUCUUCACUAUGAAUUACGUGUUAAACUGCUAAGUAGCUGCUAAAUGGCAGUGAAGGGUCUAAUGUCUGUUCGGUGUUUUGUUUGAAGCAGCCAGGG